UUUUUUAUAUACAAGGUCAAUGGUCACCAAAACUGUUUGGUUACCAACAUUCUUCAAAAUACUUUCUUGUGUUCCGCAAAAG